UGGGGAAUAUUGGACAAUGGGGGCAACCCUGAUCCAGCCAUGCCGCGUGAGUGAAGAAGGCCUUAGGGUUGUAAAGCUCUUUCAGUCGUGACGAUGAUGACGGUAGCGACAGAAGAAGCCCCGGCUAACUCCGUGCCAGCAGCCGCGGUAAUACGGAGGGGGCAAGCGUUGUUCGGAUUUACUGGGCGUAAAGGGCGCGUAGGCGGGGUAUCAAGUUAGGGGUGAAAGCCCGGGGCUCAACCUCGGAACUGCCUUUAAAACUGAUACUCUAGAGUCCGGAAGAGGGUCGCGGAAUUCCCAGUGUAGAGGUGAAAUUCGUAGAUAUUGGGAAGAACACCGGUGGCGAAGGCGGCUUUCUGGCCUGAUCCUGACACUGAGGUGCGAAAGCGUGGGGAGCGAACGGGAUUAGAUACCCCGUAGUCC
rnacentral:rRNA from 1 species